rnacentral:tRNA from 1 species
GGCCCGUGAGUGUGCUGGAUCGCACGUCAGCUUGCGAAGCUGUUAGACCAGGUUCGACUCCUGGACGGGCUA